UGUGUUUAUUGAAAAAAAAAGCUCAUAAUAAUCUAAAGCGAUAAAAUAUAUUUGUAUAAUACUGCAACAAUUUUGCAAUAGCUAAAUAUUUACUGCGUUACAAAACUUUAUCAGUUACCGAGUAUUUAAGAAACUUUAUUGAUGAAAUGAAAAGUUUUAUGUGUAGGGGAUUAAACUAUUUAGGAAAACAUUAUUCAGCUAAUUUAAAUUCUAUUAUAUGUAAUGCAUCAGCAUCGAUGCUCCUGCAAGAGCAUAUUUAAAGUGUAUAAAAAGCCAUGGUGGCUAUUUAUGCUUGUGAAAGAUGCUGUCAAGAAGGUGUAUAUAUUGGACAUAAAUUAACAUACCCUGAAGUCAUUGCAAGACUCAGAACUGAUAAUGAUUUUUGUUUGCAGAUAGAUGAAGAUCAUUAUGUACCAAAUGUUGUUUCACCUUUAAUUGAGUAUGGUUUGGGAUUAGUUACUCAGAUACCAUUAGACUAUAUGCAUUUAGUUCUUUUAGUUGUACAGAAAAGAAUGAUAAGUUUGUAGAUGAAAGGAGACUUAAAGUACCGAUUUCCAUCAAAGGUGGUAAAUAAUAUAUCAGCAAACUUACUAGAUUUACGAAACAGUAUGCCAAAAUAAUUCUAUUGCAAACCAAGAUCUUUAAGUGAUUACAAACAAUGGAAAGCAACAGAGUUUCGUCAGUUUUUACUUUAUUCUGGGUCAUUGACAAUGUUUGGUAUGGUACCAAAAGUAAUUUAUGAAAAUUUAGUUUCAUAAAUAUUUGUUAAGUCCAGAUUUAGUCAGAUAUGUUGAAUACUUAAAUUAUGUUGAAAAGUUAUUGUGCAAUUUUGUUACUAAUUUUAAAGAACUUUACGGAGAAGCCCAACUAGUUUAUAAUGUCCAUUCAUUGUUACAUAUAGUUCAAGAUGCUAAAAGAUUUGGAGCAUUAAAUAAUAUUUCCCCUUUUCCUUUUGAAAAUCAGUUAAGAAUGCUUAAAAAAAUGGUUCGUUGACCACAAAAUCCGAUUGCACAGAUUGUAUGUCGAAUGGCUGAGAAGUCAAACACUUUUAACUAAAAACAAAAUAUUUGAAGGAACAUCAAAUAUAAAAGCCAUAUUCAAAAAAAAAACAUACAUCAGGGCCUGUGCUACAAAGUUUGAAUCAAUAUUACUACAAAAGAGAUAAUAAAUUUGCGUCAACUGCACAAGGGGACAAUUGUUUUGAAAUAUUUGGAAAACCUUCAGUGCUCUUAAAUAUUCUUCUUAAUGAAGAUAAUGAAGCAAUUGUUGUAUAUGACACAUUUAAAGAAUUGGAGUCAUUUUUCGAAUACCCUAUGAAAUUCACUCAGUUAGAAAUAUAGCUUGCUAAAAAUUUGAUAGGAAAUUUCAAAGUAUUAGCAUUUUAGAGCUUGGUUGCAAAUUUGUUAUAAUGCCUAUAAAAAGAGACUUUGUAUUAAUUCCACUUCUUCACCAAUAAAAAGCUUUUUAAUAAUGUUUUUGUUUUUGUUUUAUGCUUGUUUGAAAAGUAUUAGUAUUUUAUUAAUAAUUUAGUCAUUCCAUGUUAAGUAGAGUAAUUUUUUUUUACAAGUGUUUUGUAAUUAAUGGCUAAAUAAAAAUAGUGGUCACUUUUUUAAACCACAUUGGAUAUUAAUUAGAAAUUUUCAGGACUUAUGUGCCAAGUCAAUAAGUUUCAAUGAGGGGAAUUCGGUUGGGAUGGAAUGAUUCUAUAUAUGUUAAAUAAUAGUUGUUAAAGUUACAAAAAUAAGUUAAAAAAUUGUUAAAUAAAAGUCUAUAAAUGUAAAUAUCGCUGAUAAAUUUUCAUGUAGUGAACUAAUCUUAGUAGUACAAUAAAACAAGUUGCAAAAUAAAUUUUUUAUACAUGGUUACUUUUCACUAUUUUCUGUAUAUUGUGAUUCCAUUACAUAUAUAAGAAUAGUAUAUAUUUUUUUAAAUAAUUGUUAUUGCAUUAGCCGUAUUAUUUUUAUCAUGGUUAUUGCAAUUUUUGACUAAGUGCUGAAAAUCCUAUAUCAGGCCUCGGCGGUCAUAAAUAAGUACGUGGAGAAAAGCUCUCCUAAAACGAACUUGGGGAGCUGUGCAAGCUGCUCCUCAUUUAAAUCAGCACUCUUUUUUAUUUUUAAUUUUUUUUUGCAACAAUAUUGUCUUUUAAAAAGCAUUUCAGUAUAUUAUGCAAUUAAUUUUUUUAAAUGACAUUUAUUUUAUUUAAAAUUGUUUUUUUUAUUUUAUUUAGAAUGAUAAUUAUACUUUUAUGAGAAAAAUUAUACUUUUGCAAGAGCCGUAAAUAGCUCUUGUAAACCGUUUUAGGGGAGUGUGAGCGAGAGCUUUCUGCCGAGGCAUGCUAUAUCGAUAAAAUAUGUUCUCUAUUUAGAUUAUGUAUGCAAUAGUUGAAUUUAACGACUCAGUCAGUGAAAUUAUACCAGGUAAAUGGUUAUGUACAGAAGAGGAAGAUAAAUGUUUUUGGCCUGAGUUUUUGCCUCUUUCAAAAGUAUCAAAGCUGGUUAGCCAAAAAGCAAAUCCUAAUCCACAAGGUUGAAUACUAACUUGAUCAAGGAGGUUGUACUUUAGUGGAGGAUAAUGGCCGUAAUAGUGCUGUAAUGACAACAAACACAAAUACAUAUGAACCGAAGUAAAAAUACUCCAGAAAAUUUAAACUGUAACGAGGAAUGCACAUCAGUAAUCAAAUGUGAGGGGCUUGGUUUUGUUCACAAGACUGAGAUGACAAACGAGCCAAACGUGCUAAAGCCUUUAAAAACACAAGGCUUCACCGAGAAGUACCUUUGGAUAUAGAAUGAUGAAUAAUAUGAAAUAUUUAAUAUAUUAUAUAUAAUAUAUAAUAUAAUACUUAAUAUAUUAUUAAAUAAUAUAAUAUUUAAUAUAUUAUAUAUAAUAUAUAAUAUA